CUACAACUCCACCCCACAAAACCCUAACCGAUCUAGGGCAAGCGCAGCCAGUGACAGGAAUCGCCACCGCCGCACCUUGACCUCCCGGGAGCACUACGACCAGGUCCUUGCCGGGGCUUCACCGACCACCGCCGCCGCCGCCAGCACCAAUCCUGGAUCGACGACGAUGGCCGGUUCCUCCUCCUUGGCAAGUGGCUCCACCGGUCUACAUUUGGAGAUCUGUUAAUUGCUGCUGGAAAGACUUUCUCUUAGAGCCUAAGAUCAUGGCAAGCCUUGCUGAUUCUUUCUUAGCGGAUCUUGAUGAACUGUCAAACAAUGAAGCCUAUCUUCUGAGUUGGUUUCAGUUACUAUGAUGUUACAGAUUUUUCAAUGAUUGAUUUGUUGAGAAUUUACAAACUAAUCAUAAAAAAUUCAGGAGGAAGAAAAUGCUGAAGCAAUGGGUAUGGAAGAGAUUGUUGAUGAUGAUAUGCCUGACCUUGUGUCUCUUAAUUAUGAUGACCUUGAUAGUGUUUCAAAGCUUCAGAAGACACAACGUUACAAUGACAUAAUGCAUGUAUGCGAUCAAACUCAUAAAUCUCCUCUUUCCCUUUCCCUCUGC